rnacentral:rRNA from 1 species
GACGAACGCUGGCGGCGUGCCUAAUACAUGCAAGUAGGACGCAGUUGCGAACGGGUGAGUAACGCAUAGGUGACUACCUAUUAGAGGGGGAGAACUAUUGGAUACGAUAGCUAAUACCGCCUACUUGUAACUGGACCUUCGUGGUAUUAGCUAGUAGGUAGGGUAAUGGCCUACCUAGGCAACGAUACAUAGCCGAUCUGGAGGGGUGAUCGGCCACACGGGGACUGAGACACGGCCCAGACCCCUACGGGAGGCAGCAGUAGGGAAUCUUCGGCAAUGGGGGGAAGCCUGACCGAGCAACGCCGCGUGAGUGAAGAAGGUUUUCGGAUCGUAAAGCUCUGUUGUUAAGGAAGCGGUACUUAACCAGAAAGGGACGGCUAACUACGUGCCAGCAGCCGCGGUAAUUC